rnacentral:tRNA from 1 species
GCGGGCGUAGCUAAGGGGUAUAGCGACACCUUGCCAAGGUGUAGGCCACGGGUUCGAUCCCCGUCGCCCGCU